rnacentral:rRNA from 1 species
UGGGGAAUAUUGCACAAUGGACGGAAGUCUGAUGCAGCAACGCCGCGUGCGGGAUGACGGCCUUUGGGUUGUAAACCGCUUUUUCUCAUGACGAAGAUUUUUGACGGUAGUGGGGGAAGAAGCACCGGCUAACUACGUGCCAGCUGCCGCGGUGAUACGUAGGGUGCGAGCGUUGUCCGGAAUUAUUGGGCGUAAAGAGCUUGUAGGCGGUUUGUCGCGUCGAUAGUGCAAACUCAGUGCUUAACGCUGAGCCUGCUGUUGCUACGGGCAGACUAGAGGAAGGUAGGGGCGAAUGGAAUUCCGGGGGGAGCGGUGGAAUGCGCAGAUAUCGGGAGGAAAACCUGUGGCGAAGGUGGUUCUCUGUGCAAUUCCUGACGCUGAGAAGCGAAAGCGUGAGGAGCGAACAGG